rnacentral:rRNA from 1 species
GACGAACGCUGGCGGCGUGCUUAACACAUGCAAGUCGAACGGUAAGGCCCUUCGGGGUACACGAGUGGCGAACGGGUGAGUAACACGUGGGUGAUCUGCCCUGCACUUCGGGAUAAGCCUGGGAAACUGGGUCUAAUACCGGAUAGGACCACUGCCUGCAUGGGGGGUGGUGGAAAGCUUUUGCGGUGUGGGAUGGGCCCGCGGCCUAUCAGCUUGUUGGUGGGGUGAUGGCCUACCAAGGCGACGACGGGUAGCCGGCCUGAGAGGGUGACCGGCGACACUGGGACUGAGGUACGGGCCAGACGCCUACGGGAGGCAGCAGUGGGGAAUAUUGCACAAUGGGCGCAAGCCUGAUGCAGCGACGCCGCGUGAGGGAUGACGGCCUUCGGGUUGUAAACCUCUUUCAGCACCGAGGAAGCGAAAGUGACGGUAGGUGCAGAAGAAGGACCGGCCAACUACGUGCCAGCCGCCGCCGUAA